GAGUUUGAUCCUGGCUCAGAACGAACGCUGGCGGCGUGCCUAACACAUGCAAGUCGAACGUGAUCCAGAGCUUGCUCUGGUGAAAGUGGCGCACGGGUGAGUAACGCGUGGAUAACCUACCCUGGUAUCCGGGAUAACAUUCCGAAAGGGGUGCUAAUACCGGAUAAGCCCACGGGCUCUUUGGAGCUUGCGGGAAAAGGUGGCCUCUAUUUAUAAGCUACUGUAUCAGGAUGGGUCCGCGUACCAUUAGCUAGUUGGCGGUGUAACGGACCACCAAGGCGACGAUGGUUAGCUGGUCUGAGAGGAUGAUCAGCCACACUGGAACUGAGACACGGUCCAGACUCCUACGGGAGGCAGCAGUGGGGAAUUUUGCGCAAUGGGGGAAACCCUGACGCAGCAACGCCGCGUGAGUGAUGAAGGCCUUUGGGUCGUAAAGCUCUGUCAGAGGGGAAGAAAUGAUAUAGUGCUAAUACCGCUUUAUCUUGACGGUACCCUCAAAGGAAGCACCGGCUAACUCCGUGCCAGCAGCCGCGGUAAUAC
rnacentral:rRNA from 1 species